GCCUAACAAGUGCACUUCAAAAUAAUUUUACAAGUGCACAGAAGAAUAUUUCUGCAAGUGCAAGUGCAGAGAAAGAGGACCCAACAACUGCACAAUUGCACAUCAAGAGAGUUCUACAAAGAUUGGAUGAGAAGCACAAGUUUCUUCUCAUCCUCUUCCUCUACACAAUCUGCCACUCCUACGAUUGCGCCUGCAAGAAGAAAAUGAUGGCAAGGCUCAGAAAGCAGACCAAAGAAACUAACAUCAUAGAGCAUCAAAUACUAAUGCAUAGAUAAGCUUGUAGAUAACGAGCCACAUAUAAUAAUAAUAAUGGCAGCAGAUAAUUAUUGCAAAUCUAGGUAUUCUAUUAUAAUUAUUUUAUCAGUAAGUUUGGACAGAAAUUUUCUUCUUUUUGUAUAACUAUAUUUUAAUACCUAC
rnacentral:lncRNA from 1 species